rnacentral:rRNA from 1 species
CCUACGGGUGGCAGCAGUGGGGAAUAUUGGACAAUGGGCGAAAGCCUGAUCCAGCCAUGCCGCGUGUGUGAAGAAGGCCAUCGGGUUGUAAAGCACUUUCAGUGGGGAAGAAAGCCUUGGGGCUAAUACCCUCGAGGAAGGACAUCACCCACAGAAGAAGCACCGGCUAACUCCGUGCCAGCAGCCGCGGUAAUACGGAGGGUGCGAGCGUUAAUCGGAAUUACUGGGCGUAAAGCGCGCGUAGGCGGUCUGAUAAGCCGGUUGUGAAAGCCCCGGGCUCAACCUGGGAACGGCAUCCGGAACUGUCAGGCUAGAGUGCAGGAGAGGAAGGUAGAAUUCCAGGUGUAGCAGUGAAAUGCGUAGAGAUCGGGAGGAAUACCAGUGGCGAAGGCGGCCUUCUGGACUGACACUGACGCUGAGGUGCGAAAGCGUGGGUAGCAAACAGGAUUAGAUACCCCAGUAGUC